rnacentral:rRNA from 1 species
UUAUGGCUCAGGAUGAACGCUAGCGGCAGGCUUAACACAUGCAAGGUCGAGGGGCAUCGGGAGUAGCAAUACUUGCCGGCGACCGGCGCAAGGGUGCGUAACGCGUGAGCAACAUGCCCGUAUCAGGGGGAUAAUCCAUGGAAACGUGGUCUAAUACCCCAUAGUAAUUAUGUAAGGCAUCUUAUAUAAUUUAAAGCUUUGGUGGAUACGGAUUGGCUCGCGUGACAUUAGCUAGAUGGUAAGGUAACGGCUUACCAUGGCUACGAUGUCUAGGGGUUCUGAGAGGAAGGUCCCCCACACUGGAACUGAGACACGGUCCAGACUCCUACGGGAGGCAGCAGUGAGGAAUAUUGGACAAUGGAUGGAAAUCUGAUCCAGCCAUGCCGCGUGCAGGAAGACGGCCCUAUGGGUUGUAAACUGCUUUUGUAUGGGAGCAAUAAGGGCUACGCGUAGUCCGAUGAGAGUACCACACGAAUAAGCACCGGCUAACUCCGUGCCAGCCGCCGC